CGCCACCCCUCGUCUUCUGAAGCCAUACCUAGUUUUCUCCUUCAAAAAAACUUACGAAGAAAUAUGCAAAGGAAAGCAGUCUUCGAGACACUUGUCACAGGUCUAGGAAGAAUAUCCCUGGUUAUUGUGAUGGUGUGGCUCAUUCCUACCAGAGCCAAUCCCAUUUGCGAUUACAAGGGCUUAACUAAAUUGGCACAAUGUCAUUUAAAGAUUUGCCUGGAAGACUAUAAGGAAGCUAAUGGGAAUGAUAUUGAUGGUUGGAACGACUUCCCUGCGCUUCGUGUCCCUGAUGAAAAACCUGAGAAUACAAAAGAGAAUGCUACUUGUGGCAUUCAUUUCAUCGCUACUGCUCUGGAUGUCAUCAUGAAGGACCAGAUUGAUGACUUGAACCCUAAUAAUAAAACCCUACAUGAAGCUUUCAAAAAAGCCAUCGGAUUCAUGCAUAAUCUCGAAAAGUGCAUGAACAAAGUCUUGAGACAUCAUUGUCAACAUCAUACAGAGCCGAAGUUACCAAAGUACGUUUAUGAUAAAAAGCAGUGGAGUGUUGGAGUCCUAAAAUCGUCUGAGAAAUUCCUCAAAUGGAUUUUAAAAGAUCAUCCGUACUUUCAAACAAAGAAACUUCAGGAAGUCAAUAUGAUGUGAAUAGCUGCUGGAGAUUUAAAUGGUUUACAUGCAAACGCACAGGUAUAAUUUAAACUGCUACGUAUUGAUACUUUUAAAAGAAAACAAUUCACCUAUAUUCCCUCUCUUUAUCCAGAGCAGAGAUGAACAGAAAUAAAUUAUUGUAUUUAAGAGAUUAUUUAUUGAAAUGUAUUUACAGUGCUACCUUGUUUUGCGAGCAUAAUCCAUUCCGGAAAGCACUCGUAUAUCAUAGUGAACUUUCCCAUUAGAAAUUAUGGAAACUCAGAUGAUUCGUUCCGCAACCCAAACAUAUUCAUAUAAAAAUGAUUAAUACAAAAUAUAAAGUAAAAAUAUAUAAAACAAAUUAACCUGCACUUUACCUUUGAAAAUAAUCAUGGAUUGUGUGAGGGAGACGACAUAGAGGAGAAGAGGAGGGUUAUUUUGUAGGACGACUUUCACUAUAACUAACGGAAUCACUAUCUGUUGGCUCACUGGAAUAUUUUUCUUUUUGUGCGAUUUUAACAAGGAACCUAUCCAAUGACAGCUGCUUUUGCCUCCUUUUCGAUUUUGCGGAAAUGUGGACAUUGCAUUGUUGUUAAACAGAUUCAUCGCUGGCACUGCUGCACCCUUAUAGGGGUGGUGCUUUUCUACUAAAUUUUGAGUUUAUACGAGUGAGGCACACAGACCGAAACAGAGCAUAGGAGAUGAUUACCCACAACCCUCGGAACCAUUGGCUCAGUUGUGAUAACAUGAAGCUUGGCAGACAAAGCGUAUACGUAUGCGUAUACGCAAGACCUCACUCAUUUAAAAUUUAUUUAAAAUUUUUGCUUGUCUUACAAAACAUGGUUUUACUCUAUUUCCUUCAUUGUGGGUGGCCCUGUUGCUUCACACUGCUGGGGUUUCAACUGCCAAUAUAUGACUGUGUUUUUGCUGGGUUGGCUGCGUUUCCUCCUGCAGUUCAGAGACGAGAUGCAUGGAUCGAUGCUAUAUCUUCUUGAUGUCAGUCCUUGGUUUGCCUGUGCCAUUUCUCGUACUAGUCUUCCUAUUUUGUUCCCUUGCCACCGUACUUGUUCUCCUGCUCCUGUUUUGAUUAGUAAAGCCCCUUUUGUUUUCCUGAAGCCUGCCCUUGAGUGCCUCAGUUGUUUUUAAAUGUAUUAUUUAUACGCAAUGUAUUUCAUAUCGACAAUGUAUUUAUUAUUUAUUUGAUUAAA